rnacentral:rRNA from 1 species
CCUACGGGUGGCAGCAGUGGGGAAUAUUGCACAAUGGGGGAAACCCUGAUGCAGCGACGCCGCGUGAGUGAGGAAGUAUUUCGGUAUGUAAAGCUCUAUCAGCAGGGAAGAAAAAGACGGUACCUGACUAAGAAGCCCCGGCUAACUACGUGCCAGCAGCCGCGGUAAUACGUAGGGGGCAAGCGUUAUCCGGAUUUACUGGGUGUAAAGGGAGCGUAGACGGCUAAUCAAGUCAGAAGUGAAAACCCAGGGCUCAACCUUGGGACUGCUUUUGAAACUGGGUAGCUGGAGUGCAGGAGAGGUAAGCGGAAUUCGUAGUGUAGCGGUGAAAUGCGUAGAUAUUAGGAGGAACACCAGUGGCGAAGGCGGCUUACUGGACUGUAACUGACGUUGAGGCUCGAAAGCGUGGGGAGCAAACAGGAUUAGAUACCCUGGUAGUC